UUAGUUAAACUAAACCGAACUACAUUUGGUUAGACUAUUAGAUUUUUAUUAUAUCAAACUUAACUUGAAAAUAAAUCAAAAUCCUCACUCUCGAUUAACAAUAAACGUUUUCCCUUUCUUCCCCUUCUUGCGCUUGUUCUUUUCAAGCUUCUUCUCCUUCAUCAACUUUUCAAUAAACUCAUCGUUCUUUUUCUCAAACUCUCUCAGAAGUUUCUUAAGUUGCUGCUUGUCGUUUGCCAGUUUCCUUAAAUCUGCAGUAGUUAGUUUGAUUUUACUUCCAAACUUGAUUCACAGAGAAAUAAGCUUCCUUAUGUCAUUCUCCACGUCAUCCUCCUCCUCCUCUUUCUUCUUGUCCUUCUUCUUCUCCUUGAGAUCCCAGAUAAUGCCAACUUCUUCUUCAAGGAUUUUUGUAUCAAAGUAGUCAUUUUCGUUACCAGGUGCAGAAACAGUCCACUUGGAGUAGUUGAUAAGGUCACGUUCAAGGUUAAAGUGAUGAAUGGCAUAUGUGUAUGCAACAGACACAGAUCCAUCCUUUUCCCAUGAGACAUGAGCCUCUUCUUUCUCCUUCUCCACAAGAACCUUUUCAACUCCCUCUUCUUUCCCUUGAGCUUCAAGUCCCUCUUUCCUCUCCUGAACCACACGUUGAACUCCUUUGGCCACUAAAGGAUGCCAAAAAUCCUCGAAAAGGAAUCGAGGCUUUGGAGCCUAAGAGAGUAUCUCUUUGUGAAUAGUUUUAACAAGCACAGUGUAAAAAUUUUCUUCCUUGACAUUUUUUCUUCUGGUAAUGAGAAAUAAGAUAAAAAUUUGGAGAAAAAGAGGAUGAAGCAGAAGAAGAAGUAUGUAAAAAGAGUAGUUAUAGGUGGUUAAACUUAAAGCUAUCAUUGUUGUCGUCUUGUAUGGGGGAGGAACACUCAAAAUCGUUUCACAGAGACUUGCAGGAGGUUUCUUAUUUUAUGAGGACAAGAGGUGAGAAGUAGAGGAAGCCCAAAGUUGGUUAUUUUCCUUUUCAAGAUUUUUCAACAAUUAAUAAGAAAUAUUAUAUGAACGUAUCUUUAAAUCAAUUAAUU
rnacentral:sRNA from 1 species